AAAAAGAUAAGCUAACAAAGCUAAUGGGUUCAUACCCCGUAUAUAAAGGUUUAAAUCCUUUUCUUUUUA
rnacentral:tRNA from 3 species